CAGAAAUUAAUACAUUUUAAUGGCAUCUAACACACAUGAUAGAGUUAACCAUUCAGACCUAACAAAUUUAGAAAACCCAAUUCCUUCCCUAUACAAUCCCUCUUUCCCCUUUCGUUAUUCCCUCUGCCACGCCAAAGGUCUCUCCAACGACGGAGCCACCACAAUUCCUCAACCAAACACCAUGACCUUAUUCUAUUUUAUGCCCUGAAUCAUAUUACCGCCAUGAAAGAACCCGAAGAUUCAUGAAUUAAGUUAAUUGAAUGCUAACAACCAUGAACCCUAAUCUUCCAAAUAAAUUAAAUGGAAAAUAAGCCAGGAUUCAUCUUCAAACCAUGGGGAUUUUGAUGCAUAUGAAGCCUUAUACACAAUGCCAACAAGAUUCAUGGUAAAGAGAGGAAAAAAAUAGCCUACCUCCAAAACGGAGAUGUGUUCCGUCAAGCGUUGAUCGGAGAAGACGAAGUGCGAAGGAAAAUCACUUGAAACGUAGGAUUCUAAGGAAAAAUAAAUCUGAUGAUAACAAUAUCUGACAACUAGCGAAGUCCAGAAUUGCUAAUCCAGCGCUGAAGAGAUCAAAUCUGACUAGAACAAGAACUCAUCUGAAUAAAUCACCUAUAUAAUCAGUCAUUCAAUCUGACAUCGGAAGACCUUGAAGAUGUGUACAUCCAAAGACUCUAAAAAAUUGUACACUUGAAAAUUCUAAAGACCUGCACACUCGAAGGCUCUAAAAACUUUAUAUCUGACGACCGUCUAUCUGAAGAUCAGUCAAAGCUAACAUUGAAUAUUAGUUAUCAAACAACUAUCUGAAGAAUACAAGAUCUGCUUAAAGAUUCUGAACUCCGCUCACUCUGAUCCAUGCCUAUCAGAUCAUCUGACUCAGCAAAAUCAUAAACUUAAUCCAGAAGUAUUCUAAGUAUGGUAUGAUUAUAUAUAAGGAUAGUAUUGACUACACUCCAAAACUGCUAUGGAAAGGACAAGAAAACUAAUAUCAUUAAGUACCAUUAUUGGCAGGUAUCAUCAUCAAUAUUCUCUCCAAUGGUAUCAUCUCUAACCAUUAUAUAAAGGCCUCACUAUCAUCAUACAAACGACGAAGCAAUUACACAAGAAUUCUAAAAUACACCUUGAACAAUAUAUCAAACACUUGUUAUUGUAAAAUUCAGUAGUCACACAAGAUUUGUUGCUCAUAGUGUGAUCAUUGAUCAUUCGCUCUUAAUUGUUGUCUUACUGCUUGUCUAGAAGUACUAAAUAUACACUUGUAAUUCUCUAUAGUUGUUGUGAUUCCUCAAGUGACUUGUGAAGUUUGUAGACAUGAGAGAGCUAAGAGUUCACUAAGGUCUUAGAUGAUUGUUGUAAUUUCAAUAUUAUUGGAUUAAGUCCUUAUUGAAGGCGAAAUCACUUUGGUCGGA